AGGGAGAGUGAAGAGAGAGAGGAGAGAGAGAGAAGACAAAUGGAAGGAAGAGAGAAAGAGAGAGAGGAGGUGUGGAGGAAGAGAGAGUGAAGAGAGAGGAGGUAUGGAGGAAGAGAGAGAGAAAGAGAGAGAGGAGGUGUGGAGGAAGAGGGAGAGUGAAGAGAGAGAGGAGAGAGAGAGAAGACAAAUGGAAGGAAGAGAGAAAGAGAGAGAGGAGGUGUGGAGGAAGAGAGAGUGAAGAGAGAGUAGGUAUGGAGGAAGAGAAGGAGAGUGAGAGAGAGGAGGAGGUGUGGAGGAAGAGGGAGAGUGAAGAGAGAGAGGAGAGAGAGAGAAGACAAAUGGAAGGAAGAGAGAAAGAGAGAGAGGAGGUGUGGAGGAAGAGGGAGAGAAGAGAG
ensembl:lncRNA